CUUGACGUGAGAAGCCUUUGACUGACAAGAGAAUCCCAUCAAUGCUGCUGGUUGGGUAUGACAAGCUGUAACCCAUCCAGAGACAGCACGAAGACAAAAUUCUAGUACGACCAGGGAGGCAACACGAGAGCCCACUACAGCCAGCAUCAGAGCCACGAAGAAAAACUGGAGCAUCCCUUGCAGUGUUCCAUGCUGAGCAGUGAAGUGGUAAUUCCAGGCCGCAGAUAAGCCUGUGAGGAGAGGAAGGACUUUCCACAUG